AUGGGAGGUCUUGGGAAAACCUCUCUUGUUCGAAGCAUCUACCGGAGCCAAGAACUUGGUGGCUGGAAGCGUGUUUGGGCCACUUCAUUGCGUCCUUUUAAGCCAGAAGUACUCCUUAGAGAUUUGGCUUUGCAGCUUCAGAAUACUAUCCAAGAAGAUCCCGCUGGAGCAACAACUGGGGCACAGAAGAAAAGCAUAUCAGUGAUGAAUCUUCAAGAGUUGAAGCAGGAAAUAGCUCGGGUACUAAAAAGGAAAAGGUGCCUUGUUGUUCUUGAUGAUAUAUUAUCCACCUCUGAGUGGGAGUUGGUCAAAUCGUGUUUGGAUAAUGCUGGAAGGAUCAUAGUCACCACAAGAGAAAACAGUAUUGCCAAACAUUGUUCAGCAGAGGACAAAAACAGGUACCAUCUUGGUGGUCUGAAAGAGGAUGCUGCACUUGACCUCUUAAAAAAGAAGGUAUUCAAGAACAAUAGUGAAAAAACAGAUUUAGUCCCAGCUAUGCUGGAGCAAGCAAGGCCUAUCCUGCAGAAAUGUGGUGGACUUCCCCUUGCAAUAUCGACUAUCGGUGGAUUCCUUUCCACUAAGCCAAAAACUGCUAAUGAAUGGAGGAAGAUGAGCGAUGGCAUUAGUAUUGAAUUGGAGAUGAAUCCUGAGCUUAGGACAAUAAAGACAAUUCUUAUGAGGAGCUAUGAUGGCUUGCCAUACCAUCUCAAGUCUGCUUUCUUAUACCUAUCCAUAUUUCAAGAAGACCAGAGAAUUAGGUGGGGUCGCUUGGCGGGGCGGUGGACUGCAGAGGGUUACUCAAGAGAUAUGCAUGGCAUGACUGCAAUUGAACUUUGUCGGAGGUACUUUGAUGAGCUCUUGGAUAGGAGUAUGAUUCUGCCAGGGGAAGGGACAAAGCAAUACAGUCAGAAAAUCAAUUCCUGCCAACUUCAUGAUAUGAUCCGUGAAAUAUGCAUCUCAAAGGCUAGGGAGGAAAACCUUGUUUUCACGCUGGAGGAAGGAUGUUGUUUGAGUGACACACAAGGUGCAAUACGUCAUCUUGUCAUUGGCAGCAACUAG
rnacentral:rRNA from 1 species